GGUCAAGCGACUACGGCGCACGGUGGAUGCCUUGGCACUUCGAGCCGAUGAAGGGCGUGGCUAGGCUGCGAUAAGCCACGGGGAGCUGUUCAGCAAGCUGAUCCGUGGAUUCCCGAAUGGGGCAACCCGGCGGCGGUCAUACGCCGUCACCCCGGACUGAACACAUAGGUCCGGUGGAGGUAAGCGGGGGAACUGAAACAUCUCAGUACCCCGAGGAAAAGAGAAUUAUUCCCCUAGUAGUGGCGAGCGAACGGGGAGAAGCCCAAACCCAGUGUUCUUAACGGUGGUACGGCCUAUGGGCAUUGGGGGUAGUGGACGCCGGCCGCUGACGCGAACCCGUCAGCAGACAGUUACCAAUCCUCCGUCUAGCGGAAGGUCCCUGGAACGGGCCGCCAAAGAGGGUGAGAGCCCCGUAGGCGAAAGACGGCGGACUGUCGCCGGCUGAUCCGAAGUACCACGCAGCACGAGAAAGUGCGUGGGAAGCAGGGAGGCCCACCUCCCAAGGCUAAAUACUCGAAGUGACCGAUAGCGGACAAGUACCGUGAGGGAAAGGUGAAAAGCACCCCGGAAGGGGAGUGAAAUAGUUCCUGAAACCGUGUGCUUUCGAGCAGUUGAAGGACGUCUGCGGACGUCUGCCAGCGUGCCUAUUGAAGAAUGAGCCGGCGAGUUACCCUCCGUGGCAAGGUUAAGCCAAUGGCUUGGCGGAGCCGGAGCGAAAGCGAGUCUGAACAGGGCGACGCAGUCGCGGGGGGUAGACCCGAAACCAGGUGAGCUAUCCAUGGCCAGGGUGAAGCGGGUGUAACAGCCCGUGGAGGCCCGAACCUACUUCCGUUGCAAAGGGACAGGAUGAGCUGUGGAUAGAGGUGAAAUGCCAAGCGAACCUGGAGAUAGCUGGUUCUCCCCGAAAUGCCUUUAGGGGCAGCGUCGAUGUUACCGACCGUGGAGGUAGGGCUCUGACUGGGCUCGGGGGCGAGCAGCCUACCAACCCCAAUCAAACCGCGAAUGCCACGGCCGUCGCAUCGGCAGUGAGACUGUGGGGGCUAAGCUUCAUAGUCAAAAGGGAAACAGCCCAGACCACCGGUUAAGGUCCCGAAAUUGCUGCUUAGUGGGAAAGGAAGUUGAACCGCCCAGACAACCAGGAGGUUGGCUUAGAAGCAGCCAUCCUUGAAAGAGUGCGUAAUAG
rnacentral:rRNA from 1 species